ACCGACACAGGUGGUCAGGUAGAGAAUACCAAGGCGCUUGAGAGAACUCGGGUGAAGGAACUAGGCAAAAUGGUGCCGUAACUUCGGGAGAAGGCACGCUGAUAUGUAGGUGAAGCCCCUGCGGGUGGAGCUGAAAUCAGUCGAAGAUACCAGCUGGCUGCAACUGUUUAUUAAAAACACAGCACUGUGCAAACACGAAAGUGGACGUAUACGGUGUGACGCCUGCCCGGUGCCGGAAGGUUAAUUGAUGGGGUUAGCGGUAACGCGAAGCUCUUGAUCGAAGCCCCGGUAAACGGCGGCCGUAACUAUAACGGUCCUAAGGUAGCGAAAUUCCUUGUCGGGUAAGUUCCGACCUGCACGAAUGGCGUAAUGAUGGCCAGGCUGUCUCCACCCGAGACUCAGUGAAAUUGAACUCGCUGUGAAGAUGCAGUGUACCCGCGGCAAGACGGAAAGACCCCGUGAACCUUUACUAUAGCUUGACACUGAACACUGGUCCUUGAUGUGUAGGAUAGGUGGGAGGCUUUGAAGCGUGGACGCCAGUCUGCGUGGAGCCGACCUUGAAAUACCACCCUUUAAUGGCUGGUGUUCUAACGUAGACCCGUAAUCCGGGUUGCGGACAGUGUCUGGUGGGUAGUUUGACUGGGGCGGUCUCCUCCCAAAGAGUAACGGAGGAGCACGAAGGUUAGCUAAUCCUGGUCGGACAUCAGGAGGUUAGUGCAAUGGCAUAAGCUAGCUUGACUGCGAGAGUGACGGCUCGAGCAGGUGCGAAAGCAGGUCAUAGUGAUCCGGUGGUUCUGAAUGGAAGGGCCAUCGCUCAACGGAUAAAAGGUACUCCGGGGAUAACAGGCUGAUACCGCCCAAGAGUUCAUAUCGACGGCGGUGUUUGGCACCUCGAUGUCGGCUCAUCACAUCCUGGGGCUGAAGUAGGUCCCAAGGGUAUGGCUGUUCGCCAUUUAAAGUGGUACGCGAGCUGGGUUUAGAACGUCGUGAGACAGUUCGGUCCCUAUCUGCCGUGGGCGCUGGAGAAUUGAGGGGGGCUGCUCCUAGUACGAGAGGACCGGAGUGGACGCAUCACUGGUGUUCGGGUUGUCAUGCCAAUGGCACUGCCCGGUAGCUAAAUGCGGAAAAGAUAAGUGCUGAAAGCAUCUAAGCACGAAACUUGCCCCGAGAUGAGUUCUCCCUGACCCUUUAAGGGUCCUGAAGGAACGUUGAAGACUACGACGUUGAUAGGUCGGGUGUGUAAGCGCAGCGAUGCGUUGAGCUAACCGAUACUAAUGAACCGUGAGGCUUAACCUU
rnacentral:rRNA from 1 species